GUCCCCGGCGAUGGGGCGGGGAGCGUAGCGCCAGGGGAGGGGGCGGGCGCGGCGGCGCGGGCCCUGCCGAAGGGGGACACCUGGCUGAGGCACAGCUGCCGCGGCGCCGCGCGAGCCCAGGGCGGCGAUCCCAGCUCUCCGAUCCCAGCCCGGGCUCGAGAGCUCGCCCGGACCGGGGGUCUUCCACCUCCGCCGUUGACAGGUUUUGACCUUUAGGAGAGAACCAGUUCUGGAGAACAACCUAACUUCUUUGAUUGAGUACUCACAUAAUGUGUUGGAACAUGGUAGGAGAUUAAGGUUUAACAAUGAUAAAAUGAGGACCAUAAUAAAGCAGUCUCCUACUUAGCCCAGCAUGCUUACUUUUCUUACCUGCUUGAAGAAGAUGUCUUUUGAAAGGUGUAAUGCAAGGAUCAAAAUGCUGUCUGUAAAUUCUGCUUUUACCAAGGUGUGAAUUUGACACCACCCAUGGCCCCCCAAAAAAGGUGAGAAAUGACUAAACCAUGGUUUCUAAGAAAAUGUGGAGAAGGAACCGAGAUUAGAAGCUGAAAACAGACAUUGUCUAUAUAGUGCAGAGUGCCUGACAACAGCUCUCUUUCGUAGAAGGUUAUAAAUGCCACAAGAGAUGAUCUCAUCAGCACAAAACUAGUGUCAUAUCUCAAGCUUGUCCCUAUAAGAAAGUUCCUACACUUGUAUGAAGUUAUAUCUGACUUACAUGCUUGGUAUGCUGACUUCUACUCUCUUUUCAUGACUCCUAAAUUAUGAAGGCUAUAUCGAAGCAGAGGUAGUGGGGCCGGGCAUGCUCCGGACGGAGGAGGUUUCUUGGAGCACACACACCGCCCCGGCCCGCCAGCGCCCGCCCGCACGCCGCCCCACCAGACGCCGACACGGUGCCGCGCCGGUUUCCCUGCGCUGCCCGGACUGGCGCUCAGACUGGGCCUGCACCAGCCCCCAACCCACGCAGGUUUCCGCCGGGCUGCGCAAGUCCCCACCCUCGCGGCUGCCUCGAAGACCAACCUCCCCCACCCCACCUCCCCGAGAGGAGCCGGGCGGCGGGUACUUAUCUCCGACCUCUGGGGACUCGCAAAAGACCCAGGCGAGCCGCGCGUCCGCUGCGGAGACACCGCGGCACACGCCAGGCGCGGCAGCAAGAUGGACCCGCGGCGCCCGGCGGCCCCGCCCCGCCGCCCUCCUCCGCCUUCACCGCGGGCUCCGCCUACC